UGGCUCAAGCUAUCGAUGAAC
rnacentral:piRNA from 1 species